UACGUAGGGAGCAAGCGUUGUCCGGAAUCAUUGGGCGUAAAGCGCGCGUAGGUGGCUUCGUAAGUCCGUUGUGAAAGUCCCAGGGCUCAACCCUGGAAUGCCGGUGGAUACUGUCGGGCUCGAAUCCGGAAGAGGUGAGUGGAAUUCCUGGUGUAGCGGUGAAAUGCGCAGAUAUCAGGAGGAACACCAAUGGCGAAGGCAGCUCACUGGGACGGUAUUGACGCUGAGACGCGAAAGCGUGGGGAGCGAACAGG
rnacentral:rRNA from 1 species